UGGAUAGAAAGAUUAAGUUUAAUCGAUUUCAAUGAUUCAGCUGACUGAAUGUCAACUUGCGUAGCUUGAUGGCGCGGCUGUGCCUAGAAUAAUAAUUUAUUCCAACCUAACCUAAAUUGUCCGUUGUGUUAAACUCGCCUGUGGCCGCGAAGUGUUUAUAUAACAUUAGACGAGCAACGAUUCCUUGCAGAUGCAACGCAUAUAUGACACACUUUUCUCGGAAGUUUGGGACUCUAGGAAAGAGUUAUGCGGCGCCCAAUUAACGUUUGUCCAUGAAUGACGAGCA